GACGAACGCUGGCGGCGUGCUUAACACAUGCAAGUCGAACGGAAAGGCCCUGCUUUUGUGGGGUGCUCGAGUGGCGAACGGGUGAGUAACACGUGAGUAACCUGCCCUUGACUUUGGGAUAACUUCAGGAAACUGGGGCUAAUACCGGAUAGGAGCUCCUGCUGCAUGGUGGGGGUUGGAAAGUUUCGGCGGUUGGGGAUGGACUCGCGGCUUAUCAGCUUGUUGGUGGGGUAGUGGCUUACCAAGGCUUUGACGGGUAGCCGGCCUGAGAGGGUGACCGGCCACAUUGGGACUGAGAUACGGCCCAGACUCCUACGGGAGGCAGCAGUGGGGAAUAUUGCACAAUGGGCGGAAGCCUGAUGCAGCAACGCCGCGUGCGGGAUGACGGCCUUCGGGUUGUAAACCGCUUUCGCCUGUGACGAAGCGUGAGUGAUGGUAAUGUGUAAAGAAGCACCGGCUAACUACGUG
rnacentral:rRNA from 1 species